rnacentral:rRNA from 1 species
GAUGAACGCUGGCGGCGUGCCUAACACAUGCAAGUCGAGCGAACAGACGAGGAGCUUGUUCCUCUGACGUUAGCGGCGGACGGGUGAGUAACACGUGUAUCACCUACUUAUAAUACGGGGAUAAUUACGGGAAACCGGAGAUAAUACCGUAUAAUAUAUUGAACCGCAUGGUUCAAUAGAGAAAUACGGCUUUGCUGGCACGUAUAGAUGGAUCCGCGCCUGAUUGGCUGGUUGGUAAGGUAACGGCUUAUCACGGCGACGAUGCGUGGCCGAGCUGAGGGAGGGAUCGGCCACACUGGAGCGGGGACGCGGUCCAGGCUCCUGCGGGAGGCCGCAGUCGGGAAUGGUCGGCAGUGGGCGAGAGCCUGACGGAGCGGGGCCGAGUGAGUGACGAAGGUCUUCGGAUCGUAAAGCUCUGUUAUUGGUGAAGAACAGCUGUGGAAGUAACUGUACACGUCUUGACGGUACCGAGUCAAGAAGCACCGGCUAACUACGUG